CCCCGCCCCGCACCCACUCAGGGAUUACAAUCACCCCCGCGCCCGACGCCGGCAACGCCAACGCCGAGCUCACCAGGGUCUCGUCCUCCGGUGCAGCCCACAUCACAGAUUUCUUUGUGAAGCGGAAAAGGCCGGCUGACUCCAAAGCAGCCUGCGAGCAUCCCAGCGGCUGCCCGGCUUCGGUCUCGGACGUGCCCACUGAACAGACCCCGCGCAAGCGGCGGCGAUGAAGCAGGACUUUUGCACUAUGGCACCGAAGGGAGAUUUUCUUCUUUUUUUUUUUUCCUUCUACUUUUGUUUUGCUUCGCCUCUGAAAGGCACCAGGACCCUGCUGCCAGGAUGGGUGGGGGAGGAAAAAAAGCAAAAGGGGCAACUCUAGGAGCAAUCAAGAUCCAGAUCUGUGCUGCCAACAUGCCCCCCACCCUCCACCCCCUCCAAAAGGAACUGCUUGUACUUCCUGUAGUGAGAGUGGCUCUGAUUUUUUUUUGAUUUUUUUUUUUUUUUUUUUAUACCAGCCACGGACGGAGCAGUGUUAAUUGACAACUGUGCAAUGUAUUAGGUUUUGUUUUUUUGUUUUUUUAAAUCUAUAAAUGCAUUAUGCCUAAUGUGAGUACACUGGCCAGAAGUGUAAAGCUUUAAAAGUCAUUUAUAUGAAAUGUUUAAUCUCUGCUGAUCUCUCAGUGUGCGAAAAGAAAAGGAAAAAGGAAAAAAGGACAAAAAAAGUGUAUAUUUGUACAAAAAUCUUUUUUAAGAGUUAUACUAACUUAUAUUUUCUAUUUAUGUCAGAAAUGUGGAUAACUUUUUUUUUGGUUGACAUCCAAUAGUCUUGUUUUUUUUUUUCUUUUGGUUAAGCCAAAGGGCACUAUAUUUGCUUGUGUUAUUUACAAAAAUGUAAAUUUAUUUUUAUAGUGGAGGGGGGAGGGGGCAAGUGGGGGUUGCAUUUGCAAAAUGUAGCUAUGAAUUGAGAUUCUGUUUUAGUUUUUACUUGAAGACAAAUCUGUUUCAAUGGUUCUUGAGCCGGUCUGUACCACUGCCAUUGCAAAUCAUGCCACAACGUUCAAAAUAAAAAAAAAAACAAAAAACCCAGAAAAAACCCCCA